GCGCCCGUAGCUCAAUUGGACAGAGCAACUGCCUUCUAAGCAGUAGGUUGCGUGUUCGAUUCACGCCGGGCGCG
rnacentral:tRNA from 1 species